UUGUUUACCUAAGCAAGCCUGGGCAAUGGCGGGCGCCCCUCCCCCAGCCUCGCUGCCGCCUUACAGUUUGAUCUCAGACUGCUGUGCUAGCAAUCAGUGAGACUCCCUAGGCGUAGGACCCUCCGAGCCAGGUGCGAGAUAUAAUCUCGUGGUGGUGCGCCGUUUUUUAAGCCAGUCGGAAAAGCGCAGUAUUCGGAUGGGAGUGACCCGAUUUUCCAGGUGCCGUCUGUCACCCCUUUCUUUGACUCGGAAAGGGAACUCCCUGACUCCUUGCGAGACGUGGAAGCUCUUUUUAAUGUCUGAGAUACUUGUAAAACAAAACUGCACUAAAGAUACGGCCUAGCUAAAUCAAAUGAAUGGGACACAUAGAGAGACAUGCCGUCACUCUGCCACACGGGCUGGAAUGCAGUGGCACAAUCAUGGCUUACUCACAUUUGGAUUACCAAAAUCAAUCCAAGACUAAGUGCAAUGAGGUGAAUACGACUCACUGCAACCUUAACCUCCCAGGCUUAAAUGAUCCUCCCACCUCAGCCUCCUGUGUAGUUGGAACUACAGUCAUGUGCCACCACACCCUGGCUAAUGUUUUUAUUUUUUGUAAAGAUGGGGGUUGUUGCCCAGGCUUAGAAAAUCUUCUGAAGUUAUGUUUAUAGCAUUGCCCCAAUUUCAUUACAGAUAUAGGUAUGUGUGUGUAUGCACACACAUACAUAUUAUAUAUAUCAGAAGAUAUGUGUGCAUGUUUGUGUUCUCAUUAAUAAUUAUUGUCUUAUUUCCAUUUUCUUCACUUUCUAAAUUUUUCUUAACAUACUAACUUUACUAAUCUCAAAACACCUAAUGUUAUACAAAUUAUGUUUUGGAAAAUUAUUCUGUGUAUAUGUUAUAUUUUGUAACAAUUAGGGUAUGUAAAAUGGUUUAUCCUGGCUUAUUUUACUUAUAUUGAUUAAUUUACUAUAUCAUAAACAUGAUUAAAGAUUAUGAUUAAUAAUCUUAUAUUGAUUAAUUUACUUACAAGGAUUAAUUUGCUAUCUCAUAAAAAUGAAAAAAAAAAAAAAACAGUAGAUAGAGAAUCUAUUAUCUACCAGAAUGCUCUAGUUACUAAGUCUUUGACCUCAUGAAAUUCACAUUCUAGUCACAAGAAGAAUAACAUAAAUGAAAACAAUGAAUUUAGAAUGUUAUCAUGGAAGGAACAUGUGUUAUAAGUAAAAAGUAAAGAGAAAACUCACUUUACAGAGGAGUUAUGUUGAUUUAUUUGUUUGUUUGUGAUCCCUUUAAAUACUCUUAGGAAAGUGAUUGAAAUGGAACAACUGAUGAUGCAGACAAAAUAGUAGUAAACUUAUAAGCUUACUAAAUGGCUUACUGAUUAAAUUAAGGUGUUGAGCUUACUAAAUGGCUUACUGAUUACUUAGAUUAAGGUGUUGGCGAUAGAUAUGGAGAGCUGUGAAUAGCUUUUAGAUGCAAUGUAUUUUGAAGGUACAACCAAAAGUACAUGCUCAUGGGUUAGAUAUGAGAGGUGAGCAACAGCAUUGAUGGCAUUGCCCUCUGUUAGAAUGGAGAAUAAUCAUGGAAUGAUGAAACUGGGAACAAAUAAAGACUCCAUUUUGAAUUUACUGGAUUUUAAGUGACUAUGAGACAUUCUCAAUAUAAAAAUUAUUAGAGAGAUGUUUCACAUUAUUUUAGUUUUGAAAUCCAACGUAAAUUUUACACUGAAAACAUAUCUCAAUUCAGACACUAAAUUUUCAUUUAAGACGCUUAAGUUGUAUUGAUUGCAUAAACCUAAAAAGCUAAAAAAAAAUCAGUUAAAAUACUAGUUCCAUAUACCCAAGUUGUUUCAAACAAAUUUCCAAUAAUUGAACUAAGUACUAAAAGCAAUUUUCCUGUAAUAUACACAACAUGUUGGUAAAACUUGUUCAUCUUUCUUAACUUUUUAAGAAUUAAUUUGGCUUCAAAGCACAUAUUCUUGUUCAAAAGUUAUGUCUGUUUAUCUUUCCAAGUGAAGUAAUUUACUAAUGCUUACAUCAACUAAGAAUUAUUAACACUGAAGUCAAAGGAAAAUUGUAUAAACUGAAAAUCUCUAAAUUUAUCAAUCUCAAAACAAAGUUUUUAAAUUUUACAUGUAGUUUUUGAGACUACAAGUUUGCUAUAAUACUGCUGACAGCAACUAAAAUCUGUAUAUUGACUCUUUAAAAAAAUGUGAAAAAUCACUUUUAUUGACCUUUAUUAUGAUAAUUUCCUAUUAUAAUGAAUUAUUACAGCUUUCUAGAUAAAAAAUAUUUUUUUCUUUUGAAAUUCAAUUUAGUUUGCUUUUGUUCAGUGUGAUAUUAGCACAAAAAACAUAAAACAAACUAUUAUUUUUAUCUUUGAUUAUUGAAUAUCUAGAAAUAAUUUAAUUUCAUGCAUCUUUGAGUAGGAAUAGACAAUACAGUAAAUCUUUGUAUUCUUUGACUCAACCAAAGAGCAAUUUGGCAAAAAAUUACAAAACCAUUAACAUUUGUUAUCUUCUAUUUCUUUCAAUAGUUCUACAAACUGGCAAUGAGUCAUAGCACUUACACAUAUACACUAAAUAAUAUUAACAACUGUGUCUAUGACACUUGUCACAGAGUCUGCUUCAGAAAACUGAACACAAAUAAUUUCAGUGUCAUAUAGUAAAGCUAAAAGGAUUUAUUAGUUCAUUUUCACACUUCUAUAAAGAACUACCUAAAAAUGAGUAAUUUGUAAAGAAAAGAGGUUUAAUUGAGUCAAAGUUCUACAUGGCUAGGGAGAGCUCAGGAAACAUAUGAUCAUGAUGGAAGGUGAAGGGGAAGCAAGACAUGCCUUACAUGGUAGCAGGAGAGAGAGAAGGGGUAGGUGCCACACACUUUAAAAUUAUCAGAUCUCAUGAGAACUCACUUAUGAGACAGCAUUGGGAGGACGGUGCUAAACCAUUAAAAACCGCCCUCAUGAGCCAAUCACCUCCUGCCAGGCCCCUCCUUCAAAACAUGGGAAUUACAACUCUACAUGAGAUUUGGGUAGGGACACAGAGCCAAACCAAUCAUUCCACCCUUUCCCCUCCCAAAUUGCAUGUCCUUCUCACAUUUCAAAACGCAAUCAUGCUUUUCCAACAGUGUCCAGCAUUAACCCAAAAGUCCAAUCCAAGUUUCAUCUGAGACAAGAUAAGUAUCUUUUGCCUAUGAGCCUGUAAAAUCAAAAACAAGUUAGUUACUUCCAAGAUACAGUGAAGAUCUAGGCAUUGGGUAAAUGCUCCCAUUGCAACAGGGAAAAACUGGUCAAGACUAAGGGGCUACAGGCCCCAUGGAAUUCCAAAAUCCAGUAGGGCAGUCAUUAAAUCUUAAAGUUCCAAAAUAACCUUCUUUGACUCCAUGUCUCACAUACAGGGUAUGCUGAUGCAAGAGGUGGGCUCCCAAGGCCUGGGCAGCUUUGCUUCUGUGGCUCUUUAGGGUACAGCCUCUGCAGCUGCUUUCACGGGCUAGUGUUGAGUGUCUGUGGCUUUUCCAGGUGCAAGAUACAAACUGUUGGUGGAUCUGCUAUUCUAGAGUCUGGAGGACAGUGGCCCUUCUCUCACAUUUCCAUUAGGCAGUGCCCCAGUGGAGACUCUGUGUGGGGGCUCCAACCCCACAUUUCCCCUCCACACCUACUGCAGGUUUUCCAUGAGGGCUUCACCCCUGCAGCAAAUUUCUGCCUGGACAGCCAGGUGUUUCCAUACGUCCUCUAAAAUCUAGGUGAAGAUUCCAAACCUCAUUCUUGCCUUCUGUGCACCCACAGGCCCAACACCACAUGGAAGCUGCCAAGGUUUGGGGCUUGCACUCUCUGAAACAAUGGCCUGAGCUGUACCUUGGAUCCUUAGAGCCAUGGCUGGAGCUGGAGUGGCUGCUACUCAGGGUGCCAUGUCCUGAGGCUGCACAGAGCUGCAGAGCUCUGGACCUGGCCCAUGAAUCCAUUUUUUUCCCCUCCUAGGCCUCUAGGCCUGCGAAGGGAGGAGCUGCUACAAAGAUCUCUGAAAUGCCUUGGAGACAUUUUCCUUAUUAUCUUGGCUAUUAACAUUCUACUCUUCUUCAUUUAUGCAAAUUUCUGCAGCCAGUUGCUUAAAUUCCUCCUCAGAAAAUGAAUUUUUCUUUUCUACCACAUGUUCAAGCUAAAAAUUAUCCAAACUUUUAUGCUUUGCUUCCCUUUCAAACAUAAGUUCUAAUUUCAGACCAUCUCUUUGUGAACAUGUAUGACUGUAUGCUGUUAGUAGAAGCCAGGCCACAUCAUGAAUACUUUGCUGCUUUGAAAUUUCUUCCACCAAAUAUCCUAAAUCAUCUCUAUCAAGCUCAAAGUUCCACAGAUCCCUAGAGCAAGAGCACAAUGCCACCAGUCUCUUUUCUAAAGCAUUACAAGAGUGACCUGUACUCCAGUUCCCAAUAAGUUCAUCAUCUCCGUCUCAGACGACCUCAGCCUGGACUUCACUGUCCAUAUCACUAUCAGCAUUUUGGUCAAAACCAUUCAACAAGUCUCUAGGAAGUUCCUAACUUUCCCACAUAUUCCUGUCUUCUUCUGAGCCCUCAGAAUUGUUCAAAUCUCUUCCCGUUACCUAGUUCCAAAGUUGCUUCCACAUGUUCAGGUAUCUUUAGAGCAGUCCCCUACUCUCCUGGUACCAAUUUCUAUAUUAGUCUGUUUCACAGUGCUAUAAAGAACUACUUGAAAAUGGAGAUGAUGCUAAACGAUUAGAAAAUGCCCCCAUGAUUCAGUCAUCUCCCAUCAGGCCGCUCUUUCAACACAUGGGGAUUACAAUUUGACAUGAGAUUUGUGUGGGGAAACAGAGCCAAAUCACAUCAAGGAAAAACAUCAGUCUUUUGUUUUAAAAUUAUAAUAAAUCUGUGUUUUUUUUUAACCUAACAUAGCUAGAGCAUCCAUCAUCGUGACCAUCUUGUAAUAAACUAAAUUUUCUAUUUCUAGCUGAAAUUAAUAUUUAAUAGCUGUAAGAGAUACAAAAAAAACCUAUGCCACUAGUUCUUUAUUUAUUUCAAAAAUUGAAAUUUUUCUCCUAAAUCUGGGAGUCAUUUGAGGAAAAAAUGUACCCAAAGUAUUAAUUGGACAGUUUCUCAUAUUGUAUACUUCAUUCUAAUCUUAAAAAAGGCACUGGUUUGCCAUUUUUAAAAAUUAGGAUCAACUGAUUUUUCCUAUUGUUAGAAAGCUAUUGUAAACUAUGGGCAAUUUUUUAGUUGAUUAAUUAAAGAUCUUUUGCUUAUUUACAAUAUUUCUUUUAAUCUCAUUUUUACAACUUUGUAACAAACUAAUCAUAAUUGAAAUAACAUAUGUUACCAUCUUUCCAUCCAAAAAUGGUCUCUUUGUUUAAAAAUCCAAGCCAUUGUAUAACAGUCCAAAAGUGUAACUUCAGACUCUGUCAAAACAUAUUUUUAAAUGUAUUGAACAUUUGACUCUAACUUUGGUUAACUUCCUUGUUUCUUUUUUUUACUAUUAAGAAAAAAAAAAUUGCAUAUCAAAUUCAGUUUGUAUUUUCUGAGAAUGUAUGUUGAUAAUGACCAGUUUAAUAUCUUAAAAAUAUAUAUGUGACAAACAACUUUUCCAUUUUGCUUUGUUGCAGCAAAUUGCAAUGUUCAUUCAUUGUGAAACCAGUUAACAUAUCCUUAUCCAGACUCUCUUAUUCUUUACUCUUCCAGUUGUAGUACCAGUUUCUACAUUUUCAUUUAAUUCUUCUUAAUAGUGUAACUUCAUUUUAAAUUAGAAAUUUGCCCAUAUGUAUUUUUAAACUAGAAAAAUAAUUUAAUUAUAUUUUGAUUAAAAUAAUAGUAUGCAUUUCAAUUUAAUAAUCAUAUGGUUUAGAUAGUUAUAAUUGUAAUUUAUUUCACCUACAUAAAAUAUUCAAAUAAACACAUUACAAUGUUACAGUAGUACAUAGAAGAAAUCAUUUAAACUGAAUCAAAUCAUUGCCACUGAGUACAUCACUGAUGUGUUGGAAACAACUCAUGCACAAAUCACAUGCUCUAUAAUACAACAUCUUAUAUGAGGCAAAGGUUAAAAUGAAAUAUAUGUUUAAGUUUAUUGCAAAAAUGUCUUGCACUGCUUUGGUUUUAAAAUUUCAAUUUAAUAAAAAUUAAAUAAUUGAAAUUUCAUAUUUUACUCCUCAGUGCACUAGAUGUAUUACAUGUGCUCUAUAACCACACAUGUUUUAUUAGAAGCCAUAAGAAAAUAAAAAUCUAGUUUAUUCCUUAGCCUUACAUAGUAAAAUUUCUUGGAAGAGUUUUAGAGUACACUACUACUUUUGAUACUUUCGAAGUUUGUGGAAUUCAAAGAAGGGAAAUAAGACAAAAUACUAAAGUGUUUCUCUAAUGGCUAGUAAAAGUAAAUCACUGCAACCUCAUUUCCAGGACACAGCAGGGGCAACACAUUAGGCCUGAGAUUAGGAAAGAAACAUCACCCAGAAUAAAGAUGAGUGAGAAAGGUAGACGUGACAGCUAUUACAUGGUUACUAACAAUGCAGAAAAAAUAAUAAUAAUAAAUAAAGAUGGGAACAGGUUAGCCACUAUUUUUAUUUUCAAAAUGCAAUAGAUUUACUUGUUUCAGCUGUAAGAGUUUGACUAAAAUGAUUAUGUACACUCUGGCAUUGGUAAUAAAAAUCAAUGAAAGGGCCACUUGCAAUUGUUAGGCCCCCAGGGAAACAGCAGUCCUGAAAGUAAAGCCUGGAAGACUUGAUGCUACUCAUAAGCUGCUUCAUUAAAACAAAAGCCACAAACAGUGAUCUCAAGAAUCCUGCCUGCACAAAAAUUAGUUCUCAGCCAGCUUCAAAGGCAGACAUAUUUCUAAAUUUGGAAGUGUUAUCCUUUUGCUAAUACUAGUAUAUUUGGCUUCUUGUGAAGAACUUUUGCUGUUUAUCUGAAAGUUAAUUAUUUUUUUUCUCACAAACAUACAUUUGUUUCUAAAUUUCCAAGGGGGCUUCUGUCACAAUCAACACUUCCUUCAACACAACUCUCAUCAUAACUAUCACCACCAAAUUGGGGGCAUCCUUUCUGAAACACCUCCCUAAUUGUUAAAAUUUUCCAGGUAGAUCAUAAAAAAGGUCGUGUUUAAUAAAAUUCAUUUCACUCAGUCAUAACCAUCUUGGGUUGUC
rnacentral:lncRNA from 1 species